AAGUCGUAACAAGGUUUCCGUAGGUGAACCUGCGGAAGGAUCAUUAACGAGUAACUGAACAGGUUGUAGCUGGCCUCUUCUAGGGGCAUGUGCACGCCUGGCUCAUCCACUCUUCAACCUCUGUGCACUUGUUGUAGGUCGGUGGAAAUGCCACAGAGUCUUCAUUGACUUUUGUGCCUGGAAGCCUUCCUAUGUUUUUUUACAAACGCGCUUCAGUUUAAGAAUGUACACCUUUGCGUAUAACGCAUCUAUAUACAACUUUCAGCAACGGAUCUCUUGGCUCUC
rnacentral:misc_RNA from 1 species